rnacentral:rRNA from 1 species
GAUGAACGCUGGCGGCGUGCCUAAUACAUGCAAGUCGAGCGAACGGACGAGAAGCUUGCUUCUCUGAUGUUAGCGGCGGACGGGUGAGUAACACGUGGAUAACCUACCUAUAAGACUGGGAUAACUUCGGGAAACCGGAGCUAAUACCGGAUAAUAUUUUGAACCGCAUGGUUCAAAAGUGAAAGACGGUCUUGCUGUCACUUAUAGAUGUAUCCGCGCUGCAUUAGCUAGUUGGUAAGGUAACGGCUUACCAAGGCAACGAUGCAUAGCCGACCUGAGAGGGUGAUAGGCAACACUGGAACUGAGACACGGUCAAGACUCCUAAGGGAGGCAGCAGUAGGGAAUCUUCCGCAGAGGGCGAAAGCAUGACGGAGCAACGCCGCGUGAGUGAUGAAGGUCUUCGGAUCGUAAAACUCUGUUAUUAGGGAAGAACAUAUGUGUAAGUAACUGUGCACAUCUUGACGGUACCUAAUCAGAAAGCCACGGCUAACUACGUG